rnacentral:lncRNA from 1 species
UGAGAGACCUUUGAGCCAUCCAAAAAUCAGAGAGAAAUACUUUUGGGUCAUGGAGAUAUAAAAGAUGCAAGUUUGGGUGUCUAGAGAGAAAAACGUGAAGAAGAAGAGGGUCUUCUUCUUGGGUUUUUGUUUUCAUGUCUUUCCUCCCUCCAUCUUGAGUUUCUUAAGAGUGUCUCAGAUCUGAAACUCCUCCUUCUACUUUCCAUCUUUGGAAGAGUCCAAAUCAAGAAGGAGGCACCUGAUCAACCAUCAAAGAAGGAUCAGCGCAGUACUAGCAUACUGUGCUGAUUUCCUAAAGCAGGACUUCUGAUCGAGAUUCGUGGGCUCGUGUGGACGACUCCUAGAGGCCGGACGCAUGUGCGGCUUGCAACAUCAUCCUCAAGCCCAGAUCAGCAAGGUUAGAACAUCUAACUUGCAAGGUAAU